rnacentral:rRNA from 1 species
UGGUGGCGAGUGGCGGAACGGGUGAGUAAUAUAUCGGAACGUCGCCCAGUCGGUGGGGAUAACGUAGCGAAAGCUACGCUAAUACCGCAUACGAUCUAUGGAUGAAAGCGGGGGAUCGCAAGACCUCGCGCGAUUGGAGCGGCCGAUAUCAGAUUAGGUAGUUGGUGAGGUAAAGGCUCACCAAGCCGACGAUCUGUAGCUGGUCUGAGAGGACGACCAGCCACACUGGGACUGAGACACGGCCCAGACUCCUACGGGAGGCAGCAGUGGGGAAUUUUGGACAAUGGGCGCAAGCCUGAUCCAGCAAUGCCGCGUGCAGGAUGAAGGCCUUCGGAUUGUAAAGCACUUUAAGUUGGGAGGAAGGGUAGUAACCUAAUACGUUGCUACUUUGACGUUACCGACAGAAUAAGCACCGGCUAACUCCGUG